UAGGGGACAAAACAGCCCUCCAAGAAAGCCAAAAGAAGUUCCAGCCACCUGGGCCACAUAUUGGCCAUGGGAAGCAUGUGGGCAUCCUCUGGAAGAUUGCAAUCUGAGCAGUUCCAGCUCAGCCAGCCUGACUAUCCUACUGAGCAGUUAGCCUUUCUCUAACCUGAGCUACAGUCAGACCCAGGUGCGAGCGACCAUGCUACACAUCAUCAGAGCUUGCAGCUGGAUUCUGAGAUCCCCCAUGGAGAAGGAAAGAAUUUAUUUCACCAGCAUCCCAAGUUUUACUGCAUCAGUGACGUUCCCUUAAUUGUGCGAAGCCUCCAAAAGUUACAAAACAAUAUCUUAAUUAAAAAUUUUGAGAGAAAGGUCACUUUUGAUUUCAUUCAGUUACUCACUCAUUCAUUCAACACAGGUUCCUGGAAUGCC
ensembl:lncRNA